GGUGGGAUGGCUCAGUGGUUAGAGCGUAGGUCUCGUAACCGGAAGGUUGCGGGAUCGAAACCCGCUGAGGCUG
rnacentral:tRNA from 1 species